AUGCGAAUCUCGAAAGCCUGUCUCAGUUCGGAUUGGAGGCUGAAACCCGCCUCCAUGAAGUUGGAUUCGCUAGUAAUCGCGCAUCAGCCAUGGCGCGGUGAAUACGUUCCCGGGCCUUGUACACACCGCCCGUCAAGCCAUGGAAGCUGGGGGUGCCUGAAGUUCGUGACCGGAAGGAGCGACCUAGGGCAAAACCGGUGACUGGGGCUAAGUCGUAACAAGGUAUC
rnacentral:rRNA from 1 species